rnacentral:rRNA from 1 species
UACGGAGGGUGCGAGCGUUAAUCGGAAUAACUGGGCGUAAAGGGCGCGCAGGCGGGCAUUUAAGUGAGGUGUGAAAUCCCCGGGCUUAACCUGGGAAUAGCAUUUCAGACUGGGAGUCUAGAGUACUUUAGGGGGGGGUAGAAUUCCACGUGUAGCGGUGAAAUGCGUAGAGAUGUGGAGGAAUACCGAAGGCGAAGGCAGCCCCCUGGGCAAGUACUGACGCUCAGGUGCGAAAGCGUGGGGAGCAAACAGG